CUGGAUUUCACACCCACCUCCCUCCGAGGCUCCGCCUCCGAGCACCACCAAACCCUAGAUCUCGCACCGGCGGCGGCGGCGGCAGCAGCAGCCAUGGCCAAGCCCUGGGGCGGCGUCGGCGCGUGGGCGCUGGACGCCGAGCGCGCCGAGGAGGAGGAGGAGCGCGAGCGCGCCGCGGCCGUCCCGCCGCCCGAGCCCGCCGGCGGCGCCGCCAGCUUCCCCAGCCUCCGCGAGGCGGCCGCGGCCGGCGGGGGCAAGUCCAAGAAGAAGAACAAGGGCACCACCCUCUCGUUCUCCGAGUUCACCACCUACGGCGCGGCCGCGGCCCAGCGCCGCGCCGCGCCCGUGGAGCCCAGGGGCCUCACCCCGGACGAGAUGAUGAUGCUGCCCACGGGGCCCCGGGAGCGCUCCGCCGAGGAGCUCGACCGCUCCCGCGGCUUCCGCUCCUACGGCGGCGGCGGGUUCGGCGGCCCCGGCGGAGGCGAGCGCCGCGGGUUCGACGACGAGGGCCGCCGCGGGCCGGGCCGGAGCUCGGAUCUCGACAUGCCCUCCCGCGCCGAUGAGGUCGACGACUGGGGGGCCACUAAGAAGUUCACCCCGGCGGCCACCGACUCUGGCCGCCGCGACAGGUUCGGCGGGCCGUCCCCGCUCGGCCACGCGGAUGACAUCGACGACUGGUCGCGCGACAAGAAGCCGCUCCCGUCGCGCUACCCCAGCCUCGGUUCUGGUGGCGCCGGCGGUGGGUUCCGCAGCUCGUCCGGCUUCCGCGACUCACCGGGCUUCCGUGACUCAACGGCUUCCUCUGAUUCCGACCGUUGGGUCCGUGGAGCCACCCCUAUGCCACACAACGGCGAGGGGGCGGGGGAGAGGCCGCGCAUCGUUCUCAAUCCUCCGAAACGUGAUCCUGCAGCUACAUCUUCGCCGCCUGCCGAGGUGGCACGCAACCGGCCAAGCCCAUUUGGGGCUGCAAGGCCCCGGGAGGAUGUGCUGGCCGAGAAGGGAGUUGAUUGGAGGAAGUUCGAGAGUGAGAUUGAGCAGAAGACCAGUCGGCCUACCAGCUCGCACUCCAGCAGGCCAAAUAGUGCGCAUUCCUCCCGCCCUGGGAGCCCUGGAUCACAGGUUUCAGUGGUUGGAAGUGAGGGGGCACCCAGGGCACGGCCAAAGUUUAAUCCUUUCGGUGAUGCCAAGCCAAGGGAAGUUGUUUUGCAGGAGAAAGGGAAAGAUUGGAGGAAGAUUGACCUUGAGCUGGAGCAUCGUGCUGUAAAUAGGUCAGAGUCCGAUGAAGAAAGAAAUUUGAAAGAAGAAAUCAACCUUAUGAAGGUGGAUCUGAAAGAAAUCGAGGGAAAGAUAAGUGAUGGUUCUGACCAAGCCUCGGUAGAUGCCAAAAAUUUGUCUGAGAAGAUAUCUCAGUUGGAAAGUCAACUUGAGCAGCUUACAAGGGAGUUGGAUGACAAGAUUCGAUUUGCGCAAAGACCGCGUUCUGGUGCAGGCAGGGUUGCAGUGCAUCCACCAACCAGUUUAGCGGAGGAACCACAAGCUACAGUUGUGGACAGACCGCGUUCUCGUGGUGGUAUGGAACCACCUCACCCAAGGCAGGAAGAAAGAUGGGGAUUUCAAGGAAGCAGAGAAAGGGGCUCUUUUGGUGGAAGCAGAAGUUCAGAUAGGUUUGUGCAGUUUGCUUCCUUAACUUGAUCUUGCGUGCUUUCAUAAAUCAAGAUAAUUUUGUCCAGAAAAUUGUUUUUUAGAAAGUAGUACUGUAGUAGCAUGGGUAAAGUUUGAAUGGUUCAGCGCGAUAUAGUUUACAUGCCCGUAAAAUAUAUACUUUCCAACACAUUUACUGUUAGCUCAACCAAUCUGGUCAGACUGAUUUUGUUACUUGAUUAAUGUACGCUGGUGAAUUUUAAAUAUUCUUAGGUAUGCAAUUAGUCCAUUAACCAUGAUUGGCAUAAUAAUCCUUCUGAUAUUAUUGCUUGGAGUCCAGUGUGAGUGCGUGUUCUGUAUGACACUAUGACUACCCCUCUUUACUGUAUACUGCAGUUCUCAAAAUAGUACAAGGCUGUGCCAUUUAGAUGCAAAUUAGUUGUCUUUGUUUUCUCAAGCAUUUAAACCAUGCACAGUUGCCAUUGGUUCUCAUCCA